CAGACUUAAGCAGCACGAUGUGGCAGAACAAUCCCCAUUGCUGAAGGAAUGUCCAGUUCUUGCCCUUUUAAAGCUGCUGCCUCUGUGACACGUCAAAUUAGGAUCACUCCUGGGGACCUAGGGGCAGAGCCACGCCCCAUGAAAGGGCUCUCCCGGGCAACCUGCCUCUUCUGCUCUCUUCUCUGAAGCAGUGAUUUGGGGGCGGGGAGAGGGGCGUGGCCGGCAGGUGUUAGAUGGAGCCCUCCUCAGGGGGCCAGGCUGGAAGCAGGAAGAAUAGCAGCUAACAGUUGUUGUGACUUAGGACUAUCUCGUCCUCACAACAAGCCUGCGAUGAAGAGACUCUUCCUAUUAUUCCCACUUUUCAGAUUUCUGUUUUAAGACGCACAUUUUCAGAGAUGCUGACCAGGUCUGACUCCCUCAUUUUAGAAACAGGAACACUCAAGUCCCAAGAAGUUAAGUGACUUGGCCAAGAAUGUUCAGUCUGCUAAUAGCACAGCAUGAACGCUGCUGCCAACAGCACCACCAACAUAGCCUGAUUCCUAGCCCAGGAGCCAGGACUCUCCUCAGAGCACUUUUGUUGCAGCUGAAAGCGGAUCUGGAGUUCAGGGGUGAGGUCUGAGCUGGAGAUGUGAGUUUGGGGGUCAUCAUGCAUCAGUGGUAUUUAAAACUACAAGGCUGGGUGAAGUCACCAAGGGAGUGAGCAUAGAUGGAAAAAGAGCUUCAAGUAAAGCACCCUGGGCAUUUCAGUGAUCAGUGAUUGGGAAGAUGAGAAGGAACCUGCACAGGAGACUAAGAGGAAGUGGUCAUUGAGGGCAUCCAGAAAGAGUGGUAUUCCAGGAACCAAGAAAAGACAUGCUUCAAGAAAGAGAGAGUAAUCGACUAUGCCGAAUGCUGCCGAGAGGUCAAGAAAAGGUAGAACUGAGAAUUGACUGUUGAAUGUAGCAAGAGGGAGGCCAUUGGUGACCUUGACAAAAGCUUUUUCAGGAGAAUGUUGGGAGCAAACACUUGAGAUUGGAGUGACUCAAGAGAAAAUGGGAGGAGAGACGUUGAAGACAGUGAGACAGACAACUCUUCCAAGUUAGGCUCCCUUACUGCCCCUUAGCUGUUCAGAGUCCAUCCAGGCCUACAUCCUAUCCUUGUCCUCCUCCUCCAUUUUCCACUUCCUCUCUUCCUUCUUUCUGUGCCCCAAAACUUGCCUAUUCCAUCUCCCAUUCCCUUAAGCCCUACUUUCCUUCAGGAAAAAGCCAUCUAAUAAACUGAUAUGCACUGAGAGUUUAAUUAAUAAGAAUUUAUUGAUAUUUUGCUGCCUUCAGGAUUAUGUGUAUUUUAACAAACAACUCUGUCAGAAAAACAGGGUUUCUUCCCCAAAGGAAAUCAUGGCAGCCAUAGAUGGGAGGAAGGAAAGAGGCUGAGCCAGGGACACCAUAUGGUCCCCCAUCCAUCACUAUCCAAUACCUACUUUUGACCUGCACAGUUUGAAAAGCUGAAAUUUUCCAUUUUGAAAUAAACUUUCAAGCUGAAGAAGUGACACAGAACAGUGAUGGCAUUGCCUGGCCCCAUGCUACUCAAGGGAGGUGCCAAGACACACUGAGUCUUCACCAGUUGUGAGGCAUUCUGAGGACUGUGUUACUAUAAUAAAAUUCCAAAGUACAAAUGGUUUCCUUUGGUCCAUAAAUUAUCUGGGGGAUCCCCAUAUUAAGAAGGCUCUCCAUGUGUUCUCUUCAGAGAGGGUAAAGGCAAAGUGGAGUUACAACUUAUGGGCUGAGAACUGCACAUAACCCACUGCUUGUCAUAUCCAUGCUGGGCCCCAGUGGCCAUUAUCCAGACUUCAUUUCUAGAUAAGACUGAGACAUGGAAAGUUUGAAGAGCACUGCUGGUCACACCCCUGGUCAGUAAAUUAAACCAUUAUUCGUAUCGAUUUAAAAGUCAUACACAAGAGGCAAUCUAAGAAGAGAUCACUAGUAACAAGACUAUCAAAACAGGAGACUUUACCAGAGUAAAGCAAGGAAAACGUUCUGCUCCAUCCCAAAUUUGACUUCUUCCUUGAAGGUACUGAAUGUGGGGAUUGCUCAGAAGCACCUGAGGAAGGAAGAGAUGACCUGCCAAGGAUGGCAGAGCCAGAAGACGCAGGAAGCUCUAAGGAUGGAGCUUUCAACCAAAUCCUCCUUGUUCUCAGAGACAGAGAGAGAGAUAAUGAACUGAGAGGGGCAAGAUUUAGCUUGCAUCUUGCUCUAGUCACAGACACUUCAUUAACUUCUUAAUUCAAAUGGAAUUUAAGAAUUCUCUAAGAAGAUUUGCUUCUCUCAAGUUCAUUAGCUUCACGGAAGCCAUUAGACUUCCUGGAAUUUUUAUUAAUGAUGCUAAUUAUCCAGCAAUAAUAUGCAAGACCCCUGUUACCUUCAGAGGGUAGUAGAAGACUGAGACGUCACAGAAGAACAGGUGAGAAGUUGUGGUUGGGCCGUGGAAGUCAAACUGCUGAAGAAUGGGGCCGGUCCCAUGGCUGAGUGGUUAAGUUUACACGCUCUGCUUUGGAGGCCCAGGGUUUCACCAGUUCGGAUCCUGGGCAUGGACGUGGCACUGCUCAUCAAGCCAUGCUGAGGCGGCAUCCCAUAUGCCACAACUAGAAGGACCCACAACUAAAAAUAUACAACUAUGUACCAGGGGGCUUUGGGAAGAAAAAGGAAAAAUAAAAUCUUUAAAAAAAAAACCUGCUAAGACUAAAGGACGAGUGUUGUAAACGUGGGGACAUUCAAAACAGACCAAGUGGGGCAGUGAAAAAGAAAAAUAGGAUCACACUUAUCAAUAA
ensembl:lncRNA